GCGGCGAACACGAAUCGCUCAGUUCAGUUUUUCAGUUGUGUUUUGUGCGGCGUGUGCGAUGGUUUUGUGUUGGCGCUUUGGCGGCGUUUUGGCGAUGACGAGAAAACUAUGUAGAAUGAAACGUGAAAUGAUUCUAGUGAAGCAAAACAUAAAAAAAUAAAUGAAAUUGUAUAAUAUCUGCAUAAGUGUAAACAGUGUCUUAGUGCAGAAGUGUAAAGAGAAUAAAAAAAAACUAUUAAAUGUUAAAAGAUGUUGGCAUUUUUACAAUUUAAAACGUGUUUUGCCAGCGAUUUCUGACUUCGAAAAAGUAUGAAGCUCAAAUCUUGCCGGCCGCAGACGCUUACAUACCUAUAUACCUGCAAAAGUUUUAAUGCAUAACUAAUUUUUAUGUGUAUUAAAAACCAGAAAGAAACAAAACAAAAACGUAUAAAGUCCAACACAAAAGUGACAAAAAAAAAAAUCAACUUUAACCGGAGAUUCGCGAGCAUCAAGCGACAAGUACGUACGUAUUUUUAAAAGCGCCCACAAUAAGCCAUAUGUCAACAUUAUACACCUUCCUUCGGUAAUUCAAGACAAGCAGCAAAACGGUAAACAUGUUUAUCUCAACGAAUGAAAAAUUAAAAGUGAAUUGUUCAUUGCAACGAACUAUUUUAAAAUAUAGUAAAAUUAUGCACCUGGAAUUACUCGUAUUAUAAAAACAAACGUAUGGCAUUUAAAAAUUCAAACUAAAAAAACAAAAACAAAAUUCGAUGAGAAAUUCCAAAUUUAACUGCACUUAAGUUGCUCAUAAGCGCUGCGGUGAACAAAACAACGGUAUUAAAUUCAUCAUACGCCGUGUGCUCCGCUGGGGCACACGCCAUUCAGCACUCAGCUGAGCCAAGCAACUGGCAAACUGGCAACUGGCAAGUACGAUAACCUUUAGUGGCGACGCGUAGCUUACCGAGAUUUUCACACAUCAAGAAACUAACGGAACACGUACGCACCCUCACUGGCACAAAAAUAUACUCACAACAUAAAAGAGCAGCUCACAUAACGCACGCCGAUAACUGGAUGAAAAAGAAACGAAAAAUGUCUGAG